UCCCCUGGUAGCUCAGUUGGUAGUAGCACCUGUGUGAAGAACAGGAGAGCGUUGGUUCGAUUCCAACCUGGGGGGU
rnacentral:tRNA from 1 species